rnacentral:rRNA from 1 species
AUUGAACGCUGGCGGCAUGCCUUACACAUGCAAGUCGAACGGCAGCGGGGGAGAAGCUUGCUUUUCCUGCCGGCGAGUGGCGAACGGGUGAGUAAUACAUCGGAACGUGCCCUGUAGUGGGGGAUGACCAGUCGAAAGAUUAGCUAAUACCGCAUACGACCUGAGGGUGAAAGUGGGGGACCGCAAGGCCUCAUGCUAUAGGAGCGGCCGAUGUCUGAUUAGCUAGUUGGUGGGGUAAAGGCCUACCAAGGCGACGAUAAGUAGCUGGUGUGAAAGGACGUCCAACCACACUGGGACUGAGACACGGCCCAGACACCUACGGGAGGCAGCAGUUGGGAAUUUUGGACAAUGGGCGAAAGCCUGAUCCAGCGAUGCCGCGUGUGUGAAGAAGGCCUUCGGGUUGUAAAGCACUUUUGUCCGGAAAGAAAUGGCUCUGGUUAAUACCUGGGGUCGAUGACGGUACCGGAAGAAUAAGGACCGGCUAACUACGUGCCAGCAGCCGCGGUAA